rnacentral:rRNA from 1 species
UACGUAGGAGGCAAGCGUUGUCCGGAAUUACUGGGCGUAAAGCGCGUGUAGGUGGUGGGACAAGUCUGCUGUGAAAGCGCCUGGCUUAACCGGGCGAGGUCGGCGGAAACUGCCGCACUUGAGGACGGUAGAGGGGGGUGGAAUUCCCGGUGUAGUGGUGAAAUGCGUAGAGAUCGGGAGGAACACCUGUGGCGAAGGCGGCCCCCUGGGCCGGCCCUGACACUGAGACGCGAAGGCGUGGGGAGCGAACGGG